rnacentral:pre_miRNA from 1 species
GUUAUACUCUCUCUGUCGUGAAUUACUUGUCGUACAAAAGGAUGUAUCUAGACGUUUUUUUAAUUCUAGAUACAUCUAUUUCUAUUCAUUUUGUGGCAAGUAAUCCAGGAUGGAGGGAGUAAUAC